AAAUACUUUUCAAUGUAACAUGACAACCAUAUAGCGGCAUACUUUUGUUUUUUUUCACUUUGCUUGCCUCAAAACUUCAUCUGAAUAUAUAGUUGAAUCUAUCAUUUCCACAAUGAUAUACUCUUCUAAAAACUGUGAGAUGGAGAGUCAACAAGAGAAAGAUAUGGAGUCUUGUUGUAGGAAAUGGAGUGAAAAGACUAUGAAUGCGUAUAUUCAUAGUCAAAUUAUGAGAAUUAGAGCAGAGGAUUUGCAACUUGGGGAAGAUAUAGCCAAGAAGCUUAGGCAGAGAGUUGUUGAUCAAGAUGUUGCCUCGUCUGUUAUGCUGUUGUCAAGGCCUAUGUUGCCUGCUUCACCUCUUAGUGGAAAAACGGCCAUAAAAUCUGCUAAUUGAUCACCAUCUAGGAAGAUUUACUGUACGCUGAGGAAUAUGGAAGACACCAUCCACAGGAACCGAAGAAUGAUGUUAAUAGAUAUGGAGAUGAAGUUCAUUUUCUUAUCACUUGCCGUUUUAUAGAUGUUGCUGUACAGUAAUACGUAAAGUAGGCAGAAUAUAGACGAAAUCUCCUCCUCCACUAUGUACCCUAUUAAACAAAGAAAAUACGUAGAUGAGAAGCACAGUUAGUGAAUAGUGACUACCUACUUACCUGUCAAUGAAAAAAUAAGUUAAUGAACACGUUGGUGCUCUACUCUGUUUAUUGUGGAUAUGAAAACGAGAUGAAUGUAAAUC